rnacentral:rRNA from 1 species
ACCGGGGGCGCAACGCCUCCGACCUAUUCUCAAACUUUAAAUAGGUACGAAGUCUGGGUUGCUUGACUGAACCCAGGCCCUCAAUGCGAGCUCCAAGUGGGCCAUUUUUGGUAAGCAGAACUGGCGAUGCGGGAUGAACCGAGAGCCGAGCUAAGGCGCCCAACUGCGCGCUAACGAUCCCACAAAGGGUGUUGAUUGAUACAGACAGCAGGACGGUGGUCAUGGAAGUCGAAAUCCGAGGAGUGUGUAACAACUCACCUGCCGAAUCAAUUAGCCCCGAAAAUGGAUGGCGCUGAAGCGCGCGGCCUAUGCUCGGCCAUGGGGGCAAGUGCGAGGCCCCCAUGAGUAGGAGGGCGUGGGUGUCGUGGCGCAGCCCGCGGCGUGAGCCGGGGUGAAACGGCACGUGCAGAUCUUGGUGGUAGUAGCAAAUAUUCAAACGAGAACUUUGAA